rnacentral:rRNA from 1 species
UACGAAGGGGGCUAGCGUUGUUCGGAAUUACUGGGCGUAAAGGGCGCGUAGGCGGUGUGUCAAGUCAGGCGUGAAAGCCCCGGGCUCAACCUGGGAACCGCGCUUGAGACUGGCACGCUCGAGUUCGGGAGAGGAUGGUGGAAUUCCCAGUGUAGAGGUGAAAUUCGUAGAUAUUGGGAAGAACACCGGUGGCGAAGGCGGGUCUCUGGGCCGGAUACUGACGCUGAGGAGCGAAAGCGUGGGGGAGCGAACAGG